UACGUAGGGUGCGAGCGUUGUCCGGAUUUACUGGGCGUAAAGAGCUCGUAGGUGGUUUGUCGCGUUGUUCGUGAAAACUCACAGCUCAACUGUGGGCGUGCGGGCGAUACGGGCAGACUGGAGUACUGCAGGGGAGACUGGAAUUCCUGGUGUAGCGGUGGAAUGCGCAGAUAUCAGGAGGAACACCGGUGGCGAAGGCGGGUCUCUGGGCAGUAACUGACGCUGAGGAGCGAAAGCGUGGGGAGCGAACAGG
rnacentral:rRNA from 1 species